ensembl:miRNA
GUCUUCUGUAUGUACCCUGUAGAUCCGAAUUUGUGUAAAAGAAGCUGCCUCACAAAUUCGCAUCUAGGGGAAUAUGUAGUUGAC